rnacentral:sRNA from 1 species
GCAGCUGGUGUAAGGCCCUGGCAGGCUGAGGCGCUGCUGUCUAUAGGGGUUUACUUCUGUCUGCAUUGAAACAUGGCUUGGGAGGGGGUUGGUGGCCUGCUGCCAGCCUCGAAUUUGGAAGGCCGUGAGAUCCCCCCCCCACACAAGUACUGUGGAGUUUUUCAGCGCGCUGAUCACCCUGCUGCGGCUUCACCCUAAUAGACUUCAUAUGUUGAUGCAGUUGACAUCAGUAUCAAACUAUUUUACAUGUGAUCUGGUGUAUUUCCUGAGGAAAUCUGCAAGAUAUUUAUUAAGAACUAAUAAAAUAAACCUCUCCAUGA